GAAGGUGUACUUCAGUGAAUCCCAUAACACUAAUUAACUGCUCUCUAGUAUGUUGUUGUACCCCAGCCAAGUAAAUAGCACUCUUGCUAAUAUUUUCCUGAAGACCAGAGGCUGCUGAGAACUGAGCAAAAGUGUUAUGCAGGAUUUGAAUAGACAUUUCAUCAGCUCUGCAGAACAUAAGCAAGUCAUCAGCAAAACAUACAUGAGAAAUAUUAAGCUUCCUGCAC
rnacentral:lncRNA from 1 species